GAUGAACGCUGGCGGCGUGCCUAAUACAUGCAAGUCGAGCGAACAGACGAGGAGCUUGCUCCUCUGACGUUAGCGGCGGACGGGUGAGUAACACGUGGAUAACCUACCUAUAAGACUGGGAUAACUUCGGGAAACCGGAGCUAAUACCGGAUAAUAUAUUGAACCGCAUGGUUCAAUAGUGAAAGACGGUUUUGCUGUCACUUAUAGAUGGAUCCGCGCCGCAUUAGCUAGUUGGUAAGGUAACGGCUUACCAAGGCAACGAUGCGUAGCCGACCUGAGAGGGUGAUCGGCCACACUGGAACUGAGACACGGUCCAGACUCCUACGGGAGGCAGCAGUAGGGAAUCUUCCGCAAUGGGCGAAAGCCUGACGGAGCAACGCCGCGUGAGUGAUGAAGGUCUUCGGAUCGUAAAACUCUGUUAUUAGGGAAGAACAAAUGUGUAAGUAACUAUGCACGUCUUGACGGUACCUAAUCAGAAAGCCACGGCUAACUACGUGCCAGCCGCCGCCGUAA
rnacentral:rRNA from 1 species